AACACGCUCCUUAGAUCCUGAGUGCCUCUGGAGGGCACUCCUGUGCUGGGGCUGUUGUCUCUUGAGUGCUGCAGCUCCAGCUUGGAGGCCCUCAGCAGCUUUUUGGCUGUACAGUUGGAGGUGCUUGAGUCAUUGGCGUGUGAGAGCAGUCUACCUGCCUCCCAGCACCCCAGCUGCCCUGGCAACCCUCAGUCUACCAUAGUUUGUUCUCAUCUCCUUUACACUCUUGUGUGGGGAAAAA